AGAGUUUGAUCAUGGCUCAGGAUGAAUGCUGGCGGCGUGCCUAAUACAUGCAAGUCGAGCGGUAAGGCCCUUCGGGGUACACGAGCGGCGGACGGCUGAGUAACGCGUGGGAACAUGCCACAAAGUGAGGGAUAACGCACCGAAAGGUGUGCUAAUACCGCAUAUGGUCUUCGGAUUAAAGGAUUUAUCCGCUUUGGGAGUGGCCCGCGUACGAUUAGAUUGUUGGUGAGGUAACGGCUCACCAAGUCGACGAUCGUUAACUGGUCUGAGAGGAUGAUCAGUCAGACUGGAACUGAGACACGGUCCAGACUCCUACGGGAGGCAGCAGUAAGGAAUCUUCCACAAUGGGCGAAAGCCUGAUGGAGCAACGCCGCGUGCAGGAUGAAGGCCCUCGGGUCGUAAACUGCUUUUAUGAGUGAAGAAUAUGACGGUAACUCAUGAAUAAGCACCGGCUAACUACGUG
rnacentral:rRNA from 1 species